rnacentral:rRNA from 1 species
AACGAACGCUGGCGGCGUGGAUAAGACAUGCAAGUCGAACGGGAUUACUGGUGUAGCAAUACAUCAGUGGUCUAGUGGCGUAAGGGUGCGUAACACGUGGGCAAUCUGCCGAGAAAUGGGGGAUAGCUCGCCGAAAGGCGAAUUAAUACCGCAUGUGGUUAGUGUUGGAUUCAACACGACACCAAAGCCGGGGCAACCUGGCGCUUCUUGAUGAGCCCGCGGCCUAUCAGCUAGUUGGUGGGGUAACGGCUCACCAAGGCUAUGACGGGUAGCUGGUCUGAGAGGACGACCAGCCACACUGGAACUGAGACACGGUCCAGACACCUACGGGUGGCAGCAGUCGAGAAUUUUUCUCAAUGGGGAAACCCUGAAGGAGCGACGCCGCGUGGAGGAUGAAGGUCUUCGGAUUGUAAACUCCUGUCAUUUGGGGAGCAAUGUGCACUGAUUAACUGUCGGUUGUAUUGAUAGUACCAGAAGAGGAAGAGACGGC